CUGGCCCUGAAUCAAGGCUGGCAGCUUCCUGACCCUGCUGGUUUCAAGCAGAAGCCUAAAGAGAUGUCUUUCUAUGGUCUGUUGGCCAUUUCCGAACUUGGGCAGGGAAAUGGUCAAUUCAUUAGAAAGAAACAGCU
ensembl:snoRNA